GAUGAACGCUGGCGGCGUGCCUAAUACAUGCAAGUCGAGCGAACGGACGAGAAGCUUGCUUCUCUGAUGUUAGCGGCGGACGGGUGAGUAACACGUGGAUAACCUACCUUUAAGACUGGGAUAACUUCGGGAAACCGGAGCUAAUACCGGAUAAUAUUUUUAACCGCAUGGUUCAAAAGUGAAAGACGGUCUUGCUUUCACUUAUAGAUGGAUCCGCGCUGCAUUAGCUAGUUGGUAAGGUAACGGCUUACCAAGGCAACGAUGCAUAGCCGACCUGAGAGGGUGAUCGGCAACACUGGAACUGAGACACGGUCCAGACUCCUACGGGAGGCAGAAGUAGGGAAUCUUCCGAAAUGGGCGAAAGCCUGACGGAGCAACGCCGCGUGAGUGAUGAAGGUCUUCGGAUCGUAAAACUCUGUUAUUAGGGAAGAACAUAUGUGUAAGUAACUGUGCACAUCGUGACGGUACCUAAUCAGAAAGCCACGGCUAACUACGUG
rnacentral:rRNA from 1 species